AGUGAACGCUGGCGGUAGGCCUAACACAUGCAAGUCGAACGGCAGCACAGGAGAGCUUGCUCUCUGGGUGGCGAGUGGCGGACGGGUGAGGAAUACAUCGGAAUCUACUUUUUCGUGGGGGAUAACGUAGGGAAACUUACGCUAAUACCGCAUACGACCUACGGGUGAAAGCAGGGGACCUUCGGGCCUUGCGCGAUUGAAUGAGCCGAUGUCGGAUUAGCUAGUUGGCGGGGUAAAGGCCCACCAAGGCGACGAUCCGUAGCUGGUCUGAGAGGAGGAUCAGCCGCGCUGGAGCUGAGACACGGUCCAGACUCGUACGGGAGGCAGCAGUGGGAAAUAUUGGACAAUGGGCGCAAGCCUGAUCCAGCCAUACCGCGUGGGUGAAGAAGGCCUUCGGGUUGUAAAGCCCUUUUGUUGGGAAAGAAAUCCAGCUGGCUAGUACCCGGUUGGGAUGACGGUACCCAAAGAAUAAGCACCGGCUAACUUCGUGCCAGCCGCCGCGGUAA
rnacentral:rRNA from 1 species